rnacentral:rRNA from 1 species
UACGUAGGGUGCGAGCGUUGUCCGGAAUUAUUGGGCGUAAAGAGCUCGUAGGCGGUCUGUCGCGUCGAUCGUGAAAAACUUGGGGGCUUAACCCCUGAGCUUGCGGUCGAUACGGGGCAUGACUGGAGUUCGGCAGGGGAGACUGGAAUUCCUGGUGUAGCGGUGAAAAUGCGCAGAUAUCAGGAGGAACACCGGUGGCGAA